rnacentral:rRNA from 1 species
UGGGGAAUCUUGUGCAAUGGGCGCAAGCCUGACACAGCAACGCCGCGUGCGGGAAGAAGGCCUUCGGGUCGUAAACCGCUUUCAGCAGGAACGAAAAUGACGGUACCUGCAGAAGAAGGUGCGGCCAACUACGUGCCAGCAGCCGCGGUGACACGUAGGCACCAAGCGUUGUCCGGAUUUAUUGGGCGUAAAGAGCUCGUAGGCGGUUCAGCAAGUCGGGUGUGAAAACUCUGGGCUUAACCCAGAGCCUGCACCCGAAACUGCUGUGACUAGAGUUCGGUAGGGGAGCGGGGAAUUCCUAGUGUAGCGGUGAAAUGCGCAGAUAUUAGGAGGAACACCGGUGGCGAAGGCGCCGCUCUGGGCCGAAACUGACGCUGAGGAGCGAAAGCGUGGGUAGCAAACAGG